GACAGAGGUGCCGAGCGUUAGGCGGAAUCACUGGGCUUAAAGCGUGUGUAGGCGGAUCUGUAAGUACCUUGUGAAAUCCCACGGCUCACCGUGGAACUGCUUGGUAUACUGCGGAUCUUGAGCCACCUAGGGGCGAGCGGAACAAGUGGUGGAGCGGUGAAAUGCGUAGAUAUCACUUGGAACGCCAAUGGUGAAAACAGCUCGCUGGGGGUGUGCUGACGCUGAGACACGAAGAGCCAGGGGAGCAAACGGG
rnacentral:rRNA from 1 species